UUUUGUACCAGGGAUUGAAUCCAGGGCACUUAAGCUAUUGAGCCAAUCUGCAGCGCUUUUUUAUUUUUUAUUUUGACACAGGUUCUCGCUAAGUUGCUUAGGGCCUCACUAAAUUGCUGAGGCUGGUUUUGAAUUUGCAAUCCUCCUGAGUCACUGGGAUUACAAGCACGGGCCACCAAGCCAGGCUGAUUUUAUCUUAUUUCUUAACAUUGCCAAAUAUUUGACCAAAAUAAUCGGAAAAGUCUCAUUCCCAUUAAGUCUCCUGGCUGCUGAACACCCUGGCUGUCCUUAUUUGGGGCUUCCCUGGCCCACUCUUGGUGGCAGGCCCUUACCAGCCAACAUAUCUGCUGGUUACCUGCCCAGGCAAGUUGUUUCACUGAGGCCCUGAGAGGUUCAUUCAGGUGCAUUCCCACACACUUACCAACAGGUGGCAGCACUCUCCAAGUCUGUCACCCCAAAACCUGCAAGGCCUCUGAAAAAUAAAUUGUGGUGUCUGUCUCUCUUACUGCUGAGGAAACCAAGAAUGGUGAGGAAAUACUUCUACACCUAAGUGCAUCUUCGUGCAAAAAGUUAAGAUCUGACUCAGUUCCUAAUGCAUCUCAAUCCUUGACCUCUGGAGGCAUUUGGCAAUAUCAGUAGAUAUUUUUCAUUGUCAUCAGUUGUGAGUAGUGGGUGGUACUACUGGCAUCUGUUGGUUGGUGGCCAGGGAUGCUGCUAAAUAUUCUCCCCAGGACAGUUCCCAACAGCAAAGAAAUGUCUAGCCCAAAAGAACAAUAGUAAUGAGAUUGAGAAACACUGAUCUAAUCACAUUCUCAAGUAUCAAUGGCCACGAAGAGACAGGAGAGGGACUUCCAUUGUCUCCUUCACCUUCAUCAUUUCCCACAUUUCCCUCAGACUCAACUCAUUCCUGUUUCUGGUGACGCUUCUGAGCAGCAUAUACAAGGCCCUGUGCUGGACCCUGGAGAGACCACCAGGGACAAAGGUGAUAGUCCCUGCCUUCCUUUCCAGAGCUCAGACUUCAGGGAAAUGCAUUAUGCAUUUGCAAAUGUGUCAAGUGCAAUGUGGGGACAAAAAAGAGACUAAGAAUGAUAAUAGAGGGAACCAACUUUAACAACAAUGGUGGGGGACUGGAGGUAUAGCUCAGUGGUAGAGUGCUUGCCUAGCAUGCCUGAGGCCCUGGGCUCAAUCCCAGGGCUGAGGAAGUGGGGGGAAGGCAGUGGGAAAGGCCUCUAAAAAGUUGACAAUUGAGCCAAAGUCUGAAAAUAGAAUGGCCUCUUGAAAUAUAACAAGGGUAAUAUAACACUAAAUGCAUUUCUUUAAAUAACUCACAGUCUUUUCUCCCCUCCAACUAUAAUUGUAAUUAUAUUCUUUUGCAUAAUUAAUUGAUUUUUAGACCCAGUCCACAUAUUUCUGUAAGCAUUUUAACCAUCCUGUAUGUAUGUAUAUAGGAUGUAAUCAAGUUUUUUCUCCAAUGUAGUUGUGGAAUUUGGUGUUGAUCAAUAGUACUCAAUGUUCAUUUCUUUGACCUGAAGGCCUUCUCAUGGAGAUGGAAUGACUGCCACCUCACAAUGGGAAGGGACCCUGAGGUCAGGCCAUCUCAUCAGUGCAUGGAUUCUGGGACCCUGCCCCAUUUACCCAUUCAGAAUCUCAGAUCAGAGGACCAUUGCUUCCAAUGGGAGGAAAAAAGUAACAAAAGUAAUACAAAGUGACUUCUAAGAUAUUGGGAAGUGGGCCAGAAAAGAUAUUGGAAUCUUGCACUCUCCUGGAUCACUCACCCUGGGAGAAGCCAGUAGCCAUGUUGUAAGGACACUCAAGCAGCCGGGAAAAGGCCUGUGUUGGGAGAAACUGGGCCUUCUGCCAAUAGUAGGAUGAUCAGACAUUCCCUCGUCUAAAACAGUCCCAGUUUUCACACUAGUCCCAUGUCCCACGGCAUCUCUAAGUCACGGAAAGCAGAGAUGGGUGACUAUCCUAACAGCCAGCACCAGCUUGGCAGGCCUGUGAGGGAGCUGCCUCCAGGCCCAACCAACCUUCCUGAUGACUGCCACCUGAGGAACAGCAUGACCGCACUUCAUUCAGCUCCAUACUUACAGAAAGCAUGUGAGAUUGUAAAAGUUGGUUGUUGUUUGAAACCACUACAUUUUGGGGUGAUUUAUUAUGCAUAAGUAAUAAACUCAGGAAUCUAUAUUAUGUCAUA